UACAGAGGGGGCAAGCGUUAUUCGGAAUUAUUGGGCGUAAAGGGCGCGUAGGCGGCCAUUCAAGUGACGGGUGAAAGCCCUCGGCUUAACCGAGGAACUGCCUGUCAGACUGGAUGGCUUGAGACCGGGAGAGGUGAGUGGAAUUCCCAGUGUAGCGGUGAAAAUGCGUAGAUAUCUGGAGGAACACCGGUGGCGAAGGCGGCAUCCUGGACCGACACUGACACUGAGGAGCGAAAGCCAGGGGAGCAAACGGGG
rnacentral:rRNA from 1 species